AGUUGUUGCGGUUAAAAAGCUCGUAGUUGGAUUUCUGCUGAGGACGACCGGUCCGCCCUCCGGGUGAGCAUCUGGUUCGGCCUUGGCAUCUUCUUGGUGAACGUUGCUGCACUUGACUGUGUGGCGCGGUACCCAAGACUUUUACUUUGAGGAAAUUAGAGUGUUUCAAGCAGGCAUACGCCUCGAAUACAUUAGCAUGGAAUAAUAAGAUAGGACCUCGGUUCUAUUCUGUUGGUUUCAGAGCUGAGGUAAUGAUUAAUAGGGAUAGUUGGGGGCAUUCGUAUUUAACUGUCAGAGGUGAAAUUCUUGGAUUUGU
rnacentral:rRNA from 1 species